GUUCUUGUAGUAAAAUGGAUAUUACAGUUCCCUCCUAAGGAGCAGUUAUGGGUUCGAUUCCCAUCGAGAACGCCA
rnacentral:tRNA from 1 species